rnacentral:sRNA from 1 species
GCAGCCGAAGAUUGAUAGGGUAUCCUUUGAGAGUUCGUGUGGUGGGGAAGAAGACAAGUCUAUCUUCUUCGGUGGCUCACCUAAAGCGCGUUACAAGAUGAUGGAGGAAGAUAGAAACGACAACCCGGGCAAGCUCAUAGCCAGGACACAACCGAGGUCCACCACCAAAUGGAGUAAAUAUAUUGGCCCCUACCGCAUUCUGAACAAUAACACAGAGCCCCUAGGAGUACCUGCCAUCUCCAAGGGUUAAAUGUCCGAGCAUUCUCGUAGUGUUCAUUAUUAAGGUGCACAGCUCGGAAUGAAGCAAAAAUCUUGCAUCCCUUUGGAAUUGUGUAAUCUAAGAAACAAAGAAAAAUGCCAUACAUAAUGAGCAUUUCUGAUGAAAAAUGUAUGGGGACUUCUUUUAGAUAAUGAAUAAAAUGUACGUGGGCUUAGUAUAGUUUAUAUUGAAAUACCUUUAUAAUGAAUAUCAGUGUUUGCUCGCCUGAAUACUCCACUAAUAAUGUUACCCACACGGAGUGUCUCAUUUAUCACCUGAAGAAAUGUUAACCCUUCAUUUAAUCAUGAUGUGAGUAAACCAACUGUACUGUCUCAAAGGUUCAGUUAAGAGAUGCCAUUUACACUAGAUGGAUUCGUGCUGUUGGCAUGAUAUUUUUAGGAGUAGCUAAUUUUUAAGAAAACAAGGGCUUUCCAACUUACACAUUGAGUAAAUGGCAUGGACUUGUAAUCGCUCCACUCUAAUGGUUGGUUUUUCCCUUUCAUAUCCCUGAUAUUGGCAUGCUCUUCCUG